AAGACCCUUCAGACACAUUUUGAACACAUAACACUUGAUCUCCUUCUCCAUUGGAACAAUAACCAAAAACCUAAAACCCUAAACAGCCAUAACCAUCUCCACCUGCUUCGUCUUCUUCUCCUUCACGUCCCAAACGGCCACCAGUCGUCACCCACGACCAGUGACCACCACCCUCGCUGCCAUCUCCACCUGCUUCGUCGUUUUCUCCUUCACGUCCCAAACGGCCACCCAUCUCCUCCGUCGUUAACCACCAGCAUGAACCAGUCACCAUUCCACCUCCAACAACCAGUUGACCACCAGCGACCACCAGCUACUAUGGUAUGCCGCUUCACCUCUCCUCCAAACGACAACCUAGCAGACAAGCAGCCUCCCUCAUCUCAAAUAGAAAUUCUCGAGGUGGUCAGGCUUCGCUCAGCACAGAAACUUACACAGGCUUGAUCUGACUUCUUUCUACGUGUACCAGUGGCUCUUCAUUAGGGGCUCGUUUACAAGGAAACCUUCUGCUAGUGGUUCGUUCGAGUUUUGUGUAUCCAGGUUCCAAUCAUUUGAGGGUACACAUUUUAAACCUGAUUCAAUGUGACAUCAUCAGUUGAUAAUGAAAUAUGAUGGAAAAAUGAGUUUGAUAUAGUUUUCCAAAUCCUUGUAUGGUCUUGUGUUGAUGUAAUUCUGUACUGAUGAGAAUAUGAAAUGUUAAGGUAGUUUUGGUCUUUAAUUAUGAAUAAUAAACAUAAGGCUUGUAUAAUUAGGAUUGAUUUCAGGUAGCCUUAGAUUGUUUUAAUUCUAUGGACUGUAGCUGGAUUGUUGAAUCUAUUUCUACAAACAUGUGAAUAUCAAUUGUAAUUAAUUUUAGUGUGUGAUCAAUAGUUAUAAAAUAUAGUGUAUUUAAUUUG